rnacentral:rRNA from 1 species
AUUGAACGCUGGCGGCAGGCCUAACACAUGCAAGUCGAGCGGAUGAAGGGAGCUUGCUCCUGGAUUCAGCGGCGGACGGGUGAGUAAUGCCUAGGAAUCUGCCUGGUAGUGGGGGAUAACGUCCGGAAACGGGCGCUAAUACCGCAUACGUCCUGAGGGAGAAAGUGGGGGAUCUUCGGACCUCACGCUAUCAGAUGAGCCUAGGUCGGAUUAGCUAGUUGGUGGGGUAAAGGCCUACCAAGGCGACGAUCCGUAACUGGUCUGAGAGGAUGAUCAGUCACACUGGAACUGAGACACGGUCCAGACUCCUACGGGAGGCAGCAGUGGGGAAAAUUGGACAAAGGGCGAAAGCCUGAUCCAGCCAUGCCGCGUGUGUGAAGAAGGUCUUCGGAUUGUAAAGCACUUUAAGUUGGGAGGAAGGGCAGUAAGUUAAUACCUUGCUGUUUUGACGUUACCAACAGAAUAAGCACCGGCUAACUUCGUG